AAUGAACGCUGGCGGCGUGCCUAACACAUGCAAGUCGAGCGAGAAAGCAACUUCGGUUGUGAGUACAGCGGCGAACGGGUGAGUAACACGUGGAUAACCUACCGUCGAGUGGGGAAUAACUCGGGGAAACUCGGGCUAAUACCGCAUAAUUCCAUCGAUCCUUGGGUUGAUGGGGAAAGGGGGCCUCUUCUUGAAAGCUCCCGCUCUUCGAGGGGUCCGCGCCUGAUUAGCUAGUUGGUGGGGUAACGGCCUACCAAGGCUUCGAUCAGUAGCCGGCCUGAGAGGGCGAUCGGCCACACUGGAACUGAGACACAGUCCAGACUCCUACGGGAGGCAGCAGUGAGGAAUAUUGCGCAAUGGGCGAAAGCCUGACGCAGCAACGCCGCGUGGAGGACGAAGGCCCUCGGGUCGUAAACUCCUGUCAGAAGGGACGAAAAGGUUUCGGUCAAUAUCCGGAACCUCUGACGGUACCUUCAGAGGAAGCCCCGGCUAACUCCGUG
rnacentral:rRNA from 1 species